UACGUAGGGCGCAAGCGUUGUCCGGAAUCAUUGGGCGUAAAGAGCUCGUAGGCGGCCUGUUGCGUCCGCUGUGAAAUCCCGGGGCUUAACCCGGGCGUGCAGUGGAUACGGGCUGGCGUGGAGGCAGGCAGGGGAGAACGGAAUUCCCGGUGUAGCGGUGAAAUGCGCAGAUAUCGGGAGGAACACCGGUGGCGAAGGCGGUUCUCUGGGCCUGUACUGACGCUGAGGAGCGAAAGCGUGGGGAGCGAACAGG
rnacentral:rRNA from 1 species